rnacentral:rRNA from 1 species
GACAGAGGGUGCAAACGUUGUUCGGAAUUACUGGGCGUAAAGCGAGUGUAGGCGGUCUGCUAAGUCGGGGGUGAAAUCCUGAGGCUCAACCUCAGAACUGCCUUCGAUACUGGCGAUCUUGAGUCCGGGAGAGGUGAGUGGAACUCCUAGUGUAGAGGUGAAAUUCGUAGAUAUUAGGAAGAACACCAGUGGCGAAGGCGGCUCACUGGCCCGGUU